rnacentral:rRNA from 1 species
CCUACGGGAGGCAGCAGUGAGGAAUAUUGGUCAAUGGACGAGAGUCUGAACCAGCCAAGUAGCGUGAAGGAUGAAUGCCCUAUGGGUUGUAAACUUCUUUUAUCUGGGAAUAAAAUGUUCCACGUGUGGGAUUUUGUAUGUACCAUAUGAAUAAGGAUCGGCUAACUCCGUGCCAGCAGCCGCGGUAAUACGGAGGAUCCGAGCGUUAUCCGGAUUUAUUGGGUUUAAAGGGAGCGUAGGUGGAUUGUUAAGUCAGUUGUGAAAGUUUGCGGCUCAACCGUAAAAUUGCAGUUGAAACUGGCAGUCUUGAGUACAGUAGAGGUGGGCGGAAUUCGUGGUGUAGCGGUGAAAUGCUUAGAUAUCACGAAGAACUCCGAUUGCGAAGGCAGUUCACUGGACUGCAACUGACACUGAGGCUCGAAAGUGUGGGUAUCAAACAGGAUUAGAUACCCGUGUAGUC